CCUACGGGAGGCAGCAGUAAGGAAUAUUGGUCAAUGGGCGCAAGCCUGAACCAGCCAUGCCGCGUGCAGGAAGACGGCCCUACGGGUUGUAAACUGCUUUUGUACCGGAAUAAACCCCCGAUCGUGAUCGGGGCUGAAUGUACGGUAAGAAUAAGGAUCGGCUAACUCCGUGCCAGCAGCCGCGGUAAUACGGAGGAUCCAAGCGUUAUCCGGAUUUAUUGGGUUUAAAGGGUGCGUAGGCGGCCUGUUAAGUCAGGGGUGAAAGACGGUAGCUUAACUAUCGCAGUGCCUUUGAUACUGACGGGCUUGAAUGUACUUGAGGUAGGCGGAAUGUGACAAGUAGCGGUGAAAUGCAUAGAUAUGUCACAGAACACCAAUUGCGAAGGCAGCUUACUAAAGUAUGAUUGACGCUGAGGCACGAAAGCGUGGGGAUCAAACAGGAUUAGAUACCCUGGUAGUCCACGCCCUAAACCGAUGAAUACUCGAUGUUGGCGAUAUACGGCCAGCGUCUAAGCGAAAGCGUUAAGUAUUCCACUGGAGUACGCCGCGAGGUAGAACGACAANAGAGUAGACGCGUGAGAGNGCGACGGACGACGACGAGGGAGGAGG
rnacentral:rRNA from 1 species